AACCCGACUACAUGAAGCCGGAAUCGCUAGUAAUCGCGGAUCAGAAUGCCGCGGUGAAUACGUUCCCGGGUCUUGUACACACCGCCCGUCACACCAUGGGAGUCGGAAAUGCCCGAAGCCGGUGACCCAACCCGAAAGGGAGGGAGCCGUCGAAGGCAGGUCGGAUGACUGGGGUGAAGUCGUAACAAGGUAGC
rnacentral:rRNA from 1 species